rnacentral:rRNA from 1 species
GACGAACGCUGGCGGCGUGCUUAACACAUGCAAGUCGAACGGAAAGGCCCUGCUUUUGUGGGGUGCUCGAGUGGCGAACGGGUGAGUAACACGUGAGUAACCUGCCCUUGACUUUGGGAUAACUUCAGGAAACUGGGGCUAAUACCGGAUAGGAGCUCCUGCUGCAUGGUGGGGGUUGGAAAGUUUCGGCGGUUGGGGAUGGACUCGCGGCUUAUCAGCUUGUUGGUGGGGUAGUGGCUUACCAAGGCUUUGACGGGUAGCCGGCCUGAGAGGGUGACCGGCCACAUUGGGACUGAGAUACGGCCCGGACUCCUACGGGAGGCAGCAGUGGGGAAUAUUGCACAAUGGGCGGAAGCCUGAUGCAGCAACGCCGCGUGCGGGAUGACGGCCUUCGAGUUGUAAACCGCUUUCGCCUGUGACGAAGCGUGAGUGACGGUAAUGGGUAAAGAAGCACCGGCUAACUACGUGCCAGCAGCCGCGGUGAUACGUAGGGUGCGAGCGUUGUCCGGAUUUAUUGGGCGUAAAGGGCUCGUAGGUGGUUGAUCGCGUCGGAAGUGUAAUCUUGGGGCUUAACCCUGAGCGUGCUUUCGAUACGGGUUGACUUGAGGAAGGUAGGGGAGAAUGGAAUUCCUGGUGGAGCGGUGGAAUGCGCAGAUAUCAGGAGGAACACCAGUGGCGAAGGCGGUUCUCUGGGCCUUUCCUGACGCUGAGGAGCGAAAGCGUGGGGAGCGAACAGGCUUAGAUACCCUGGUAGUCCACGCUGUAAACGGUGGGUACUAGGUGUGGGGUCCAUUCCACGGGUUCCGUGCCGUAGCUAACGCUUUAAGUACCCCGCCUGGGGAGUACGGCCGCAAGGCUAAAACUCAAAGGAAUUGACGGGGCCCCGCACAAGCGGCGGAGCAUGCGGAUUAAUUCGAUGCAACGCGUAGAACCUUACCUGGGUUUGACAUGGGUCGGGAGUGCUCAGAGAUGGGUGUGCCUCUUUUGGGGUCGGUUCACAGGUGGUGCGUGGCUGUCGUCAGCUCGUGUCGUGAGAUGUUGGGUUAAGUCCCGCAACGAGCGCAACCCUUGUUCACUGUUGCCAGCACGUUAUGGUGGGGACUCAGUGGAGACCGCCGGGGUCAACUCGGAGGAAGGUGGGGAUGACGUCAAGUCAUCAUGCCCCUUAUGUCCAGGGCUUCACGCAUGCUACAAUGGCUGGUACAGAGAGUGGCGAGCCUGUGAGGGUGAGCGAAUCUCGGAAAGCCGGUCUCAGUUCGGAUUGGGGUCUGCAACUCGACCUCAUGAAGUCGGAGUCGCUAGUAAUCGCAGAUCAGCAACGCUGCGGUGAAUACGUUCCCGGG